rnacentral:rRNA from 1 species
AAUCAACGCUGGCGGCGUGCCUAACACAUGCAAGUCGAGCGAGAAAGUGUAGCAAUACAUGAGUACAGCGGCGCACGGGUGAGUAACACGUGGGUAAUCUGCCCUAGAGUGGGGAAUAACACCGGGAAACCGGUGCUAAUACCGCAUACGAUCACGAUGUCUGCGGACGUUGUGAUGAAAGGAGCAAUUCGCUCUUGGAGGAGCCCGCGUCCGAUUAGCUAGUUGGUGAGGUAAUGGCUCACCAAGGCGACGAUCGGUAGCUGGUCUGAGAGGAUGUCCAGCCAGACGGGGACUGAGACACGGCCCCGACUCCUACGGGAGGCAG